rnacentral:SRP_RNA from 1 species
GCCGGACGCGGUGGCGCGCGCCUGUAGUCCCAGCUUCUCGGGAGGCUGAGACGGGAGGAUCCCUUGAGUCCAGGAGUUCUGGGCUGUAGUGCGCUAUGUCGAUCGGGUGUCCGCACUAAGUUCGGCGUCAAUAUGGUGACCUCCCGGGAGCGGGGAGCCACCAGGUUGCCUAAGGAGGGGUGAACCGGCCCAGGUCGGAAACGGAGCAGGUCAAAACUCCCGUGCUGAUCAGUAGUGGGAUCGCGCCUGUGAAUAGCCACUGCACUCCAGCCUGGGCAACAUAGCGAGACCCCGUCUCU